UACAGCAACACUGCACCCAUACUUCUUCGCUCGCUCACUGCAAUAUUUAUUGCAAAAAAAAUGUGAAAAUCUAUAGACUCGUUAAAAAUAGUGCUCAAUCAUACGCAUCGGAUGGCCGCGGAGGCGUGGGUAACAAAAUCCGGGGAAAUGCACCGUGAGGAAGUCGCGAAAAAAGAUGAAAUCUAGUCAAGGCAAUGUAAACGUUAUUGGAAGGGGAAGAGCAGAGACGAGGCUAAACUAAAACAACAACAACCACAACCACAAUAGGGGGAAAUAAAAUGAAAAACGCAAAUUCAAAGUGACACGCAGAAACAAAAAGUCUCAUUAAUAAUAUAAACAAUAUACUAGAGUGUUGAAAAAUAUAAAUACAAGUGACACAAACAAAUCAAGUGGGAGCAAAGAGUGCGUAUGUGUGGGUGACGUUUCCCUAUUCCCCUCUCUGUCGCUCGCUCACGACUCGCUAUUGUUGUUGGGGUUGAAAACGAAUUGCCUGCAUAACGGUUAACGCGUGACGUCCGACCCAAACAGCAAGUGCACCCACCCACACCCACACCCACAACACCCCCAACACCCAACAGCCUACACCCCAAAAAGACACAAUAAAUUUCAUUUAAAGGAGAUACAGAGAGGCGAUCUCUCUGUUUUCGCAUCCAGCCCCAUCAUGAUGGACAACGACGAUACCCUGCUCAACAAUGGAGGCCCACAGUCUGGGGCGGAGACCGUCUACGGGACGGAGGACAACAACAUGGUCAUGUCGGAGAAGAACGAACAGGUUGUCAGCAUCGUCCAACAACUGGCUGGGAGCAUCUAUCAGGAGUUCGAGCGAAUGAUCAAUCGGUACGACGAGGAUGUGGUGAAGAACCUGAUGCCGCUGCUGGUGAACGUGCUGGAGUGCCUGGACGCCUCCUAUCGCAUCAAUCAGGAGCAGGACGUGGAGGUGGAGCUGCUGCGGGAGGACAACGAGCAGCUGGUGACACAAUAUGAGCGGGAGAAGAGUGCCCGCAAGCAGUCCGAACAGAAGCUACUGGAGGCCGAGGAUCUGGCGGAGCAGGAGAACAAGGAGCUGGCCACUAGACUCGAAUCGGUGGAGAGCAUUGUGCGAAUGCUGGAGCUGAAGCACAAAAAUAGUCUGGAGCAUGCCAGCCGCCUGGAGGAGCGGGAAGCGGACCUCAAAAAGGAGUACAACAAGCUGCACGAACGGUAUACGGAACUGUUCAAGAACCAUGUGGACUACAUGGAACGCACCAAGAUGCUGAUGGGCUCCACCCACUCCCAAAUGAGCACCGCCUCCGAUCGCAUGGAAGUGAGUCGAGCGCGCCUGAAUCCGGUUGCCCGAAGCUCUGGUCCCGUCUCCUAUGGGUUUGCCUCGCUGGAGAACUCUGUGAUGCUGGACACCGAGACCAUUUGCAGUGUGGGCAGUCAGUCGGAUGACUCAGGACCGCCAUCGCUGCAGAACGAGCUGGACAGCCUGGCUGGAACGGUGGAGCGCGGUGCUGUCACCGAUGCGCUGCAGCAGCAGAAUCAGGCCACCUCGCCCCAGAGCCCCGACAGUCCUGUUGUGCCAAAUGUGCCCGCUAAUGUUGGUCGAUCGACCACCAAGAAGGAGCAAAGGUCGGACAACAACCUCUACCAAGAGCUGUCCUUCCAGGACAAUGAGGAGAGUGAAGAGAAUGAGAUUGUGACAGGCAGCUGGGUACAUCCCGGAGAGUACGCGUCCUCAGCUAACGACAACUAUUUCGGCAUGGGCAAGGAGGUUGAAAAUCUCAUCAUGGAAAACAAUGAGCUAUUGGCCACCAAAAACGCCCUCAAUAUCGUCAAGGACGAUUUGAUUGUCAAAGUGGACGAGCUGACGGGUGAGAUUGAAAUCGUGCGGGAGGAACUGAACGCCAUGCAGCAAUCCAGGACUAAGCUCCGGCAGCGCAUCAGCGAGCUGGAGGAUGAGCUGAAGAAGGCCAAGGAGCAGGUCAAGCAGCAGAGCACAGAGCAAGAGGAGAACGAUGUCCCACUGGCGCAGCGCAAGAGAUUCACUCGCGUCGAAAUGGCCAUGGUGCUGAUGGAGCGUAACCAGUACAAGGAGCGUCUGAUGGAGCUCCAGGAGGCAGUCCGCCUCACAGAAAUUCUACGGGCCACCCGGACCGUAGAUAAUCUGGACAAGAAAUCGAAGCAAAGCAUUUGGAAGUACUUUAGUAAUCUUUUUACCCCCUCCAACCGCCCGACGGAACGCGUCGCGGACGGUCUCGGAGGGGGGCCGAUGUUUCGUCACACCGGCGGAGGAAGCCCUGCCCACAGCCACGGAUCUCCUAGCCGAGGUGGAGGAGGCGACAAUCGCCUUGCCCUAACCAGCGGCCAGCCGCCCGUUCACCCAGCCAGUGCCGGUCUGGCCAAUGCCCUCAUUCUGCCGAAGGACUAUGCCGAGGAGGGCGGCUCGGAACGGAUUAGUGCGCGCCGCCGAGAGCAGUACCGGCAACUGCGCGCCCAUGUCCAAAAAGAGGACGGCCGGCUGCAUGCCUACGGCUGGAGUUUGCCGAUCAACAAGGCCAAUCAGGAGGCGAAUCCCAGCCGGCAUUCCGGCGGCGUACCGGUCCCAGUUUACUGUAAUCCCCUGGCGGAAGCGUCGCCCCACAUGAAAGUGUUCUGUGCGGCGGGCGUGAAUCUUCACGGGGGCUUCACCAAGGACGGGCAAUCCCUGAUAUCUGCCAAUUCACCCUAUGCACCGAAAUCCACGCUGAAGAUAGCCGAGAUUACCAGCCCCACAGCGGAGCACAGUGUGGAGGCGCUGGACAGGCAGAUGGCACGCGCCAGCUUGGAGACCCUGGAGCCGGAGACACAGCUCAGCUCAUUUGUGUGGAUUUGUACGAGCACCCAUGCCGCCAGCACCGUCAGUGUGGUGGAUGCCAACCAGUCUGCCACCGUGCUGGAUGCCUUUCCCAUAUGCUCCUCGCAUCUGCUCUGCAUAGCCUCGGUCCAGGGAGCAAUGGAAAGCGAUUACGCCCUGCUGGAGCAGUCGGAGGUGGUCAAGGCGGGUGAGAUGCUGCAGAGGCCGGGCGAAGGACCAGAACUACUCGGCAAGGUGGAGUUUGUGCGCGUGAAACCAAAGACAGAGGAUGAACACAAGCAGCAGCAGGAGGAGGAGGAGGCCAAGGAAGCCACCGAGAAGUCCAACGAGCAGAUGCCAGCAGUUGAUGCCGAGGAGCCACUUGGUAAUGUGGAAGCCAUCAAGAUCCGCCAAGCCCUGCCCGGAGCUCCGCAGCGCCUGGCCGCUGACGGCGUCAAUCAGGCAAAUAAUAACAACAAUAGCAACAGUGUACUGUUCGCCACCAAGUCCCUGAAUCCUAUUCUGGGUACCAAGGAGCGCGAAGAGCCAGCCAUGAGCUCGGUGGGGCCCACCAUGUGGAUGGGCGCCCAGGACGGAUGGUUGUAUGUGCACAGCAGUGUGGGAAGGUGGCACGAAUGCCUGCACAAGGUUCAGCUGCCGGACGCUGUCCUGGCGAUUGUGCAUGUGGAGGCGAGGGUUGUUGUGGCGCUCGCCAAUGCCCAGCUAGCCGUGUUCCGCCGCCAGACAGACGGCCAAUGGGAUCUGAAUAGCUAUCACCUGGUGACGCUCGGUGAUCGCAACCAUUCGAUACGUUGCCUCUGUGUGGCCGGCGAGCGCAUAUGGGCGGCGCACCGCAACAAGAUCUUUAUCGUUGACCCGGUAUCGCUCAACAUUGUGCAUUCGCUGGACGCCCAUCCGCGCAAGGAGAGCCAAGUGCGUCAAAUGGCGUCCACCGGCGCUGGAGUCUGGGUGUCCAUAAGACUGGACUCCACGCUGCGACUGUACAACACCCAUACGUUCGAGCACAAGCAGGACGUCGAUAUUGAGCCGUAUGUGUCCAAAAUGCUCGGCACCGGCAAGCUCGGCUUCAGCUUUGUCCGCAUCACUGCUCUGAUGGUGUCCUGCAACAGGCUGUGGAUCGGCACCAGCAACGGGGUUAUCAUCUCAGUGCCCCUGGCUGAGGUCCAGCAGAAGUCGUCAUCCGAUCCCCAUGGACAGAUGCCGCUGUGUUGUAUGGCCAACGCUCAACUUUCCUUCCAUGGUCAUCGGGAUGCCGUGAAGUUCUUUGUUUCGGUGCCGAUGCUGCAGCAACCGAACCUGAACGGAGGACUGACCUUCACCAACAAGCGACCGGAUAUGCUGGUCAUGUGCGGUGGCGAGGGUUACAUCGAUUUUCGCAUAAGACAUGAUAAGUACGAUGCUAGCGAUAAUGCAGCGCACUUGAUAGUUUGGAAAGUUGAUACAACCUUCAAUCUGUAGCAGGAAGUGUCCCAGAAUCCCACAAUGGAUGGCGGCAUUUGUCCAAGACGUGACCUGAACUGAAUUAAGCUCCUAAGCCAGAUGAUAACGAUAUGGAGAACAGUAUUCAACUGGAACCAAAUCAAACGAUCGAGAACCGGGGCGAUAAGAGCUACUUGAUUGUGUG
rnacentral:misc_RNA from 1 species